GGAAUCUUGCGCAAUGGGCGAAAGCCUGACGCAGCAACGCCGCGUGCGGGAUGAAGGCCUUCGGGUUGUAAACCGCUUUCAGCAGGGACGAAAAUGACGGUACCUGCAGAAGAAGCCCCGGCUAACUACGUGCCAGCAGCCGCGGUAAUACGUAGGGGGCAAGCGUUGUCCGGAUUUAUUGGGCGUAAAGAGCUCGUAGGCGGUUCCGUAAGUCGGAUGUGAAAAAUCUGGGCUCAACCCAGUGGAGCACCCGAUACUGCGGUGACUCGAGUCCGGUAGGGGAGUGUGGAAUUCCUGGUGUAGCGGUGAAAUGCGCAGAUAUCAGGAGGAACACCGACGGCGAAGGCAGCACUCUGGGCCGGUACUGACGCUGAGGAGCGAAAGCAUGGGGAGCGAA
rnacentral:rRNA from 1 species